rnacentral:rRNA from 1 species
AUUGAACGCUGGCGGCAGGCCUAACACAUGCAAGUCGAGCGAGCGGCGGACGGGUGAGUAAUGUCUGUGAAACUGCCGGCUGGAGGGGGAUAACUACUGGAAACGGUAGCUAAUACUGCAUACCCUCUGAUGUGCCCAGAUGGGAUUAGCUAGUGGGUGGGGUAAUGGCUCACCUAGGCGUCGAUCCCUAGCUGGUCUGGGAGGAUGACCAGCAAAUCUGGAACGGAAACACGGUCAAAAUUCCAACGGAAGGAACAGGGGGGGAACAUUGGACAUGGGGCGCAAGCCUGAUAAAGCCAUGCCGCGGGUAUGAAGAGGGCCUUGGGGUUGUAAAGUACUUUCAGCGAGGCGGCGUUACUCGCAGAAGAAGCACCGGCUAACUCCGUGCCAGCAGCCGCGGUAAUAC